rnacentral:rRNA from 1 species
AACGAACGCUGGCGGCAUGCCUAACACAUGCAAGUCGAACGAACCCUUCGGGUCUAGUGGCGCACGGGUGCGUAACGCGUGGGAACCUGCCCUUAGGGUCGGACUAACUCCCCGAAAGGGGUGCUAAUACCGGAUAAUGUCUUCGGACCAAAGAUUUAUCGCCUUUGGAUGGGCCCGCGUUGGAUUAGCUCGUUGGUAGGGUAAAAGCCUACCACGGCGACGAUCCAUAGCUGGUCUGAGAGGAUGAUCAGCCACACUGGGACUGAGACACGGCCCAGACUCCUACGGGAGGCAGCAGUGGGGAAUAGUGGACAAUGGGCGAAAGCCUGAUCCAGCAAUGCCGCGUGAGUGAUGAAGGCCUUAGGGUUGUAAAGCGCUUGUACCCGGGAUGAUAAUGACAGUACCGGGAGAAUAAGCUCCGGCUAACUCCGUG